UAGCUUGCUACCUGACCUAGCGGCGGACGGGUGAGUAAUGCUUAGGAAUCUGCCUAUUAGUGGGGGACAACAUUCCGAAAGGAAUGCUAAUACCGCAUACGCCCUACGGGGGAAAGCAGGGGAUCUUCGGACCUUGCGCUAAUAGAUGAGCCUAAGUCAGAUUAGCUAGUUGGUGGGGUAAAGGCCUACCAAGGCGACGAUCUGUAGCGGGUCUGAGAGGAUGAUCCGCCACACUGGGACUGAGACACGGCCCAGACUCCUACGGGAGGCAGCAGUGGGGAAUAUUGGACAAUGGGCGAAAGCCUGAUCCAGCCAUGCCGCGUGUGUGAAGAAGGCCUUUUGGUUGUAAAGCACUUUAAGCGAGGAGGAGGCUACUUGGAUUAAUACUCUAGGAUAGUGGACGUUACUCGCAGAAUAAGCACCGGCUAACUCUGUGCCAGCAGCCGCGGUAAUACAGAGGGUGCGAGCGUUAAUCGGAUUUACUGGGCGUAAAGCGUGCGUAGGCGGCUUUUUAAGUCGGAUGUGAAAUCCCUGAGCUUAACUUAGGAAUUGCAUUCGAUACUGGGAAGCUAGAGUAUGGGAGAGGAUGGUAGAAUUCCAGGUGUAGCGGUGAAAUGCGUAGAGAUCUGGAGGAAUACCGAUGGCGAAGGCAGCCAUCUGGCCUAAUACUGACGCUGAGGUACGAAAGCAUGGGGAGCAAACAGGAUUAGAUACCCUGGUAGUCCAUGCCGUAAACGAUGUCUACUAGCCGUUGGGGCCUUUGAGGCUUUAGUGGCGCAGCUAACGCGAUAGGUAGACCGCCUGGGGAGUACGGUCGCAAGACUAAAACUCAAAUGAAUUGACGGGGGCCCGCACAAGCGGUGGAGCAUGUGGUUUAAUUCGAUGCAACGCGAAGAACCUUACCUGGUCUUGACAUAGUAAGAACUUUCCAGAGAUGGAUUGGUGCCUUCGGGAACUUACAUACAGGUGCUGCAUGGCUGUCGUCAGCUCAUGUCGUGAGAUGUUGGGUUAAGUCCCGCAACGAGCGCAACCCUUUUCCUUAUUUGCCAGCGGGUUAAGCCGGGAACUUUAAGGAUACUGCCAGUGACAAACUGGAGGAAGGCGGGGACGACGUCAAGUCAUCAUGGCCCUUACGACCAGGGCUACACACGUGCUACAAUGGUCGGUACAAAGGGUUGCUACCUAGCGAUAGGAUGCUAAUCUCAAAAAGCCGAUCGUAGUCCGGAUUGGAGUCUGCAACUCGACUCCAUGAAGUCG
rnacentral:rRNA from 1 species